UAAUCUCAGAGGCCAGAGCAGUGUGGAUGGAAAAUUAGAAGGAAGUAGAAAGUGUUAUUCCAGAGCACUGGAUCAAAGUGUGUGGUGGCCCCCAAAUAAAUAUGACAAAGCAAUGAAGGAUUGGUCCACACCCUCUCUGAAAUGGAAGUCCUUUCAGCUUCUGAGGAUAAAACUCACAUCAGAAUCAAAACAGCAAUGUGAAGACAUCAAAAUCACAGAAGCCAGUGAAGUGGAGAUGUCCAAGAGAAACCGAACUGGCAAAAGUCUACCCAAGCCCCCACCAAAUUAUGCCCCAAAGCACCAGAAAACCUGUGCCACCGCUACCAAGAAGCAAAAAGCUAAAACGCAGCACAAACCACCAAGUAAGGGAAGACCCCUAUGAAAUGGACAGAAAUGAAUAGCAACUUAUUGCCAUUGGGUGAACCAUAUACACAAUCGCAAAUAC